rnacentral:rRNA from 1 species
UACGAAGGGGGCUAGCGUUGCUCGGAAUCACUGGGCAUAAAGCACACGUAGGCGGAUUGCUAAGUCAGGGGUGAAAUCCUGGAGCUCAACUCCAGAACUGCCUUUGAUACUGGCGACCUUGAGUCCGGGAGAGGUGAGUGGAACUGCGAGUGUAGAGGUGAAAUUCGUAGAUAUUCGCAAGAACACCAGUGGCGAAGGCGGCUCACUGGCCCGGUACUGACGCUGAGGUGCGAAAGCGUGGGGAGCAAACAGG